GUAGCUAUAGUUUAAUUAAAACAUUAGAUUGUGAAUCUAAUAAUAGAAGAUUAUAACUUCUUAACUACC
rnacentral:tRNA from 1 species